rnacentral:rRNA from 1 species
AGAGUUUGAUCAUGGCUCAGAACGAACGCUGGCGGCAGGCCUAACACAUGCAAGUCGAACGCUCGUAGCAAUACGGGAGUGGCAGACGGGUGAGUAACACGUGGGAACCUUCCCUAUGGUUCGGAAUAGCUCAGGGAAACUUGGGGUAAUACCGAAUAAGCCCUUCGGGGGAAAGAUUUAUCGCCAUUGGAUGGGCCCGCGUCGGAUUAGCUAGUUGGUGGGGUAACGGCCUACCAAGGCGACGAUCCGUAGCUGGUCUGAGAGGAUGAUCAGCCACACUGGGACUGAGACACGGCCCAGACUCCUACGGGAGGCAGCAGUGGGGAAUAUUGGACAAUGGGCGCAAGCCUGAUCCAGCCAUGCCGCGUGAGUGAUGAAGGUCUUCGGAUUGUAAAACUCUUUCGCCGGGGAAGAUAAUGACGGUACCCGAGAGAG